GGGGAAUUUUGGACAAUGGGCGCAAGCCUGAUCCAGCCAUGCCGCGUGAGUGAAGAAGGCCUUCGGGUUGUAAAGCUCUUUCGCAAGGGAAGAAAACGUGUGGGCUAAUAUCCUGCGCGGAUGACGGUACCUUGACAAGAAGCACCGGCUAACUACGUGCCAGCAGCCGCGGUAAUACGUAGGGUGCGAGCGUUAAUCGGAAUUACUGGGCGUAAAGCGUGCGCAGGCGGUUGUGUAAGACAGGUGUGAAAUCCCCGGGCUUAACCUGGGAACUGCGCUUGUGACUGCACGGCUAGAGUACGGCAGAGGGGGGUGGAAUUCCUGGUGUAGCAGUGAAAUGCGUAGAUAUCAGGAGGAACACCGAUGGCGAAGGCAGCCCCCUGGGCCUGUACUGACGCUCAUGCACGAAAGCGUGGGGAGCAAAC
rnacentral:rRNA from 1 species